CAGACAUAAAAGGUGGNUUCGGCUACCACUUACAGAUGGACCCGCGGCGCAUUAGCUAGUUGGUGAGGUAACGGCUCACCAAGGCAACGAUGCGUAGCCGACCUGAGAGGGUGAUCGGCCACACUGGGACUGAGACACGGCCCAGACUCCUACGGGAGGCAGCAGUAGGGAAUCUUCCGCAAUGGACGAAAGUCUGACGGAGCAACGCCGCGUGAGUGAUGAAGGUUUUCGGAUCGUAAAGCUCUGUUGUUAGGGAAGAACAAGUGCCGUUCAAAUAGGGCGGCACCUUGACGGUACCUAACCAGAAAGCCACGGCUAACUACGUGCCAGCAGCCGCGGUAAUACGUAGGUGGCAAGCGUUGUCCGGAAUUAUUGGGCGUAAAGGGCUCGCAGGCGGUUUCUUAAGUCUGAUGUGAAAGCCCCCGGCUCAACCGGGGAGGGUCAUUGGAAACUGGGGAACUUGAGUGCAGAAGAGGAGAGUGGAAUUCCACGUGUAGCGGUGAAAUGCGUAGAGAUGUGGAGGAACACCAGUGGCGAAGGCGACUCUCUGGUCUGUAACUGACGCUGAGGAGCGAAAGCGUGGGGAGCGAACAGGAUUAGAUACCCUGGUAGUCCACGCCGUAAACGAUGAGUGCUAAGUGUUAGGGGGUUUCCGCCCCUUAGUGCUGCAGCUAACGCAUUAAGCACUCCGCCUGGGGAGUACGGUCGCAAGACUGAAACUCAAAGGAAUUGACGGGGGCCCGCACAAGCGGUGGAGCAUGUGGUUUAAUUCGAAGCAACGCGAAGAACCUUACCAGGUCUUGACAUCCUCUGACAAUCCUAGAGAUAGGACGUCCCCUUCGGGGGCAGAGUGACAGGUGGUGCAUGGUUGUCGUCAGCUCGUGUCGUGAGAUGUUGGGUUAAGUCCCGCAACGAGCGCAACCCUUGAUCUUAGUUGCCAGCAUUCAGUUGGGCACUCUAAGGUGACUGCCGGUGACAAACCGGAGGAAGGUGGGGAUGACGUCAAAUCAUCAUGCCCCUUAUGACCUGGGCUACACACGUGCUACAAUGGACAGAACAAAGGGCAGCGAAACCGCGAGGUUAAGCCAAUCCCACAAAUCUGUUCUCAGUUCGGAUCGCAGUCUGCAACUCGACUGCNUGAAGCUGGAAUCGCUAGUAUCCGCCGNAUCAGCAUGCCG
rnacentral:rRNA from 1 species